ACCAUGAGGAUGCCCAGCUGCCACCCCGUCUAUAAGCUGCUGCUGCCCCAUUUCCGUUACACGUUCCACAUCAACAUCUUGGCCCGGGAUUCGCUGGCUCAACCCCGGAGGGAUCAUCGACCAGGCCACGUCUUUGGGUCGGGCCGGGACCCUGGUUCUGGUGGGCCGGGCUCUGGCCGGUACCACGUACAGGCAGCUCUGUGUCCCCGAUGAUUUAUGGGAUCGGGGGGUGACCCACAUCCCAAACUACCACUAUGGGGCCGACGCCACCAGACUAUGGGACAUCAUAUACAGGUGGGACCCUAUAAGGGAUCAGUGGGA